rnacentral:rRNA from 1 species
CUACGUGCCAGCAGCCGCGGUAAUACGGAAGGUCCAGGCGUUAUCCGGAUUUAUUGGGUUUAAAGGGUGCGUAGGCCGUUUGAUAAGCGUGCUGUGAAAUAUAGUGGCUCAACCUCUAUCGUGCAGCGCGAACUGUUGAACUUGAGUGCGUAGUAGGUAGGCGGAAUUCGUGGUGUAGCGGUGAAAUGCUUAGAUAUCACGAGGAACCCCGAUUGCGAAGGCAGCUUGCGGGAGCACGACUGACGCUGAGGCUCGAAGGUGCGGGUAUCGAACAGGAUUAGAUACCCUGGUAGUCCGCACGGUAAACGAUGGAUGCCCGUUCUCCGGCUUUUUUUUGUCGGGGGACCGAGCGAAAGCAUUGAGCAUCCCACCUGGGGAGUACGCCGGCAACGGUGAAACUCAAAGGAAUUGACGGGGGCCCGCACAAGCGGAGGAACAUGUGGUUUAAUUCGAUGAUACGCGAGGAACCUUACCCGGGCUUGAAUUGCAGACGAACGAUUCAGAGAUGAUGAGG